AUAGCAGUGAGAGCAAAUGGAUGCCAAGAGGAUCUUUCAGCAAAAUGGAGUGACAAUGGGAUUGAUUACAACCCUAAAAAGCAGCCGCCUAACACUCUCUCCAAAAGAAAAAGAAAGAGACAAAAAAGCUUCAAACAGCCUGCUACCUACACAGAGGCUGCUAAAGUUCUGAAAAUGGAUCCUUCCAUAAGAACCUCUUCAAGUCUAUAAAGGUUAGGAGAAGGCCAAAACGAUGCAUAUCAAAAGGGAAAAAAUGCAUUGGAAACAGGUUUAAUACUCUAAAAAUUGCUUAGCAAGGAAUAUAUAUGAAGAGAUUAAGCUCUCUCUCUCUCUCUCUCUCUUUCUCUCUCUAGUUCUAUCAAUCUCAAGCUCUCUCUCAAUCUCUCUCUCGUCUCUCCAUCUCCUGUCCUAUUUUCAUAAUCUAAUUUGUGAGUUGAUGCUCUUCCCUCUUAGUUAAAUUAUACUAAAUAUCAUAUUUUAUAAAUACAAAUACUACAUUGGUGAA